UUUUGUCGUCUUGUUUUUUUCAGGUCUUUGAAGAACAGCUUGUUCUCUGUCCGGAUGAAGAGGAAGAAGAACUAAACACGUUUAACUCAGGUCCAGAUUGAAUCCUGACUCUGCCUGCAACAAGAAAGUGGGA
rnacentral:lncRNA from 1 species